UACGUAGGGUGCGAGCGUUGUCCGGAAUUAUUGGGCGUAAAGAGCUCGUAGGCGGUCUGUCGCGUCGGUCGUGAAAACUUGGGGCUUAACCCUGAGCUUGCGGUCGAUACGGGCAUGACUGGAGUUCGGCAGGGGAGACUGGAAUUCCUGGUGUAGCGGUGAAAUGCGCAGAUAUCAGGAGGAACACCGAUUGCGAAGGCAGCUCGCUGGGACGUAACUGACGCUGAGACGCGAAAGCGUGGGGAGCAAACAGG
rnacentral:rRNA from 1 species